GCACUUUGAUGCUACACAGAGGUAGAUUCUGAAUUUGCUACAGAGGCAAUUGGCCCAGGGGGACAGGAUAGAGGCAGCCUUGCAGCUGCCUAGGAUGGAUGAUUUUGAAUUUGCUGACUUUGGCGAGUAUUUUCCACCUCUAGUACAACCACCACCUCCACCAUUGCCACCAGCCCAGCAGGAUGAGUAGGGCAGUAUUUCUUCAUAUUUAUCUCUUUUCCUUUUUAUACUUAUUAUGUUGCUUCCUAACUCCUUUACACACUCCGGAUAGUGUCCUUCAAGUGUAG
rnacentral:lncRNA from 1 species